rnacentral:misc_RNA from 1 species
AAGUCGUAACAAGGUUUCCGUAGGUGAACCUGCGGAAGGAUCAUUAAAGUAUAUGUGUUUUACCAUGUGCAGAGUUGGGGGGAGGAGGGGAGGUGGUUUUUGAUGUUAUGUUUGAUAUGUUAGCUUGUUUGAAUGAUUUAUGUUUGACAUGAUUUAUGUUUGAUGUUAUAAUAAAUUAUUUCAUCAUGUUAUUUCAUCAUGUUAUUUCAUCAUGUUAUUUCAUCAUGUUAUUUCAUCAUGUUAUUUCAUCAUGUUAUUUCAUCAUGUUAUUUCAUCAUGUUAUUUCAUCAUAAUUCAAUCAUUCUCAUCUAUCCCCCCAUCAUAUAUACUAUUCGUCAAAUCUUAACAACAAAUAAUAAUUUGCGGCAAUGGAUCUCUAGGCUCUU